rnacentral:rRNA from 1 species
AACGUAGGGUGCUAGCGUUGUCCGGAAUUACUGGGUGUAAAGGGAGCGCAGGCGGCUGUGCAAGUUGGGCGUUUAAUCUACGGGCUUAACCCGUAUCAGCGUUCAAAACUGUACAGCUUGAGUGAAGUAGAGGUAGGCGGAAUUUCCGGUGUAGCGGUGGAAUGCGUAGAUAUCGGAAGGAACACCAGUGGCGAAGGCGGCCUACUGGGCUUUAACUGACGCUGAGGCUCGAAAGCAUGGGUAGCAAACAGGAUUAGAUACCCUGGUAGUCCAUGCUGUAAACGAUGAUUACUAGGUGUGAGCCCGCAAGGGUUCGUGCCGCAGUUAACACAAUAAGUAAUCCACCUGGGGAGUACGACCGCAAGGUUGAA